CGCGCCGAGUUCCGACCCAUGUCCGGGCAGAAAGGCGGAAGACACGAAUCACUGGUUAUCGCUGAAGUAACACCAGUUGGAGUGUGGAUACAAUGGUGAGGGCUGCAUCAGCCAAGCUGGACUAUGAGGCAGAAGCAGUUUGUUUAGGAUGGAAAACUACAAGCUAGGAUGACCAUGACAUUGCCAUACCAGACUUGGACUACCCAACCCCAUAUCUUUAUAGAUGUUCAUAGUAACUUUACAGUGAAGACACCUGGUAGACAGCACCUCUGCAAGUGACCAAGGUCAACAUCACCGGAAGUAAGUGAUGAUGAUAUCAUGUCUUCCUGAUAUGAUGCCUUGGGAUGAGCACGUCAUCACUGGGUCAUUCUUCCCCUAUAACCCAGUCCAACCAUGAGGAGCUAUUAGACAAACACAAAUCCAGGCACAUUCUCCAAAACUCUAAGCAGUAUCUUCAAAAGUGCCAAGGUGAUGAAAACACGAAGACUGAGAAACUGCCACAGACUGAAGAAGACCUAAGUACUAACAAUAUGCUCCCAUGGAUUCAAUCCUGGCACCAAAAGACAUGGAGAGAAAAACUGGUGAAACGUCCAUAAGGUUUGUUUGGUUAUGAAUAUUGUAGAAAUGUAGCUUUUAAGUUUUGAUAAGCCCUUUCUGGUUAUAUAAGAUGCUAAGGUGAGAAAACCUGAAAGGGCAUACAGGAGCUCUGUUCUACCACUGAAACUCUUCUGUAAAUUUAAUAUGAUUUAAAAUGUAAAUUUCACACUAUUCAGGGAAAUAACAUCCCAAACAUCCUGUCCAAGCCAGUCUCUCCUCCUGAUUUCUAGCUCAUUCAUACAUGCAUGGAUCCAUUCAACGAAUAUACUGAGCACUACUUGGUGGUAGGAAGUAGAGGGACACGGUAUGAAGACACUGAUGAGAGGGCAUGAAGACACCAACCUCCAGGAGCUUGCAGCCUUCUGUGCAGACCUUAAGAACUUCAGGUGUGAUGCAAUGGCACGUAUGCUUCGGUGGAGAUUUGCACGGUACACAAAAAGUGUAAGAGAGGGAAAAGAAGUAGGAAUUUGCCUGGCAAGCAAAGCAUUAUGGGUGGAGUGGAGGUGAAAGAAGAGGAUUCUGGGAAAUGUAGUUCCUAGUGAACCACCUUGACAACACAUUUCCAUGGCACCAUCUCCUGACUACCCAAUCUAAAGAAGCCACAUGGUCAUACUGUAUCACAUCUCUUUAUUUAAUUCUCUGUGGAGCUGCUGUGUUCUAAGUUGCUUGUUGUGGCAUCCCCACAAAGAAAUCAGGUAGGGAGGGCAUGGUUCAUGUCUCCUUUGGUGCCCACUCUAACUCCAGUUCUCAGAACAGUGUCUGAAUUCAGGCUACUAUAACAAAAGUGAUUUUAUAUAACUGGGUGGCUUAUGUGAACAACAAAAAUCUACUUGUUACAGUCCUGGAGGCUGGAAGCCCUCAAUCAAGCCCUGAUCAAGGAUGUCAGGUGGGGAUUUGCUUCCUGGUUCAUAGAUGGCCACCUUCUCAUUGUAUCCUCACAUGGUGGAAGGGCUGAAGGAGCUCUCCAGGGUUUCUUUAAUAA